rnacentral:rRNA from 1 species
UACGUAGGUGGCGAGCGUUGUCCGGAAUUACUGGGUGUAAAGCGCGUGUAGGCGGGAGGCCAAGUCUGCGGUGAAAUCGCUCGGCUCAACUGGGCGGGGUCCGUGGAAACUGGUCACCUGGAGGACGGUAGAGGCGAGUGGAAUUCCCGGUGUAGUGGUGAAAUGCGUAGAGAUCGGGAGGAACACCUGAGGUGAAGACGGGUUGCUGGGCCGACACUGACGCUGAGUGCGCGAAGGCCAGGGGAGCAAACGGG